UACAGAGGGGGCAAGCGUUGUUCGGAAUUACUGGGCGUAAAGGGCGCGUAGGCGGCCACCUAAGUCAGACGUGAAAUCCCUCGGCUCAACCGGGGAACUGCGUCUGAUACUGGGCGGCUUGAAUUCGGGAGAGGGAUGCGGAAUUCCAGGUGUAGCGGUGAAAUGCGUAGAUAUCUGGAGGAACACCGGUGGCGAAGGCGGCAUCCUGGACCGAGAUUGACGCUGAGGCGCGAAAGCCAGGGGAGCAAACGGGU
rnacentral:rRNA from 1 species